UGAGUAAAUCAGACGAUCGCGUGCUUUUGCAUGAGGAAAGUCCGUGCUCCAUAGGGCAGGAUGCUGGAUAACGUCCAGUAGGGGCGACCCUAAGGAUAGUGCAACAGAAACAUACCGCCAGAGCCCUGAUUUAGUAUUUUCUAGAUUUGUGGCGAAAAUAGCUAAGGUGCUAUUCUGGUAAGGGUGGAAAGGUGAGGUAAGAGCUCACCAGCGACUUAGGUAACUAGUCGGCUCUGUAAACCCCAUCUGGAGCAAGACCAAGAAGGGAUACAAAAAGGUGGUAGCCCGCUACCUUCCCAAAUGGUAGGUCGCAGGAGUCCAUUGGUAACAGUGGACCAUAGAUAGAUGAUCGUCUAAUACAGAACACGGCUUAUAGAUUUACUCAAUAU
rnacentral:RNase_P_RNA from 1 species